GUGCGGAGGGAUCAUUACCGAGUUUACAACUCCCAAACCCCUGUGAACAUACCUUAAUGUUGCCUCGGCGGAUCAGCCCGCGCCCCGUAAAACGGGACGGCCCGCCAGAGGACCCAAACUCUAAUGUUUCUUAUUCUAACUUCUGAGUAAAACAAACAAAUAAAUCAAAACUUUCAACAACGGAUCUCUUGGUUCUGGCAUCGAUGAAGAACGCAGCAAAAUGCGAUAAGUAAUGUGAAUUGCAGAAUUCAGUGAAUCAUCGAAUCUUUGAACGCACAUUGCGCCCGCUGGUAUUCCGGCGGGCAUGCCUGUUCGAGCGUCAUUUCAACCCUCAAGCGCCCGGGUUUGGUGUUGGGGAUCGGCUCUGCCCUUCUGGGCGGUGCCGCCCCCGAAAUACAUUGGCGCUCUCGCUGCAGCCUCCAUUGCGUAGUAGCUAACACCUCGCAACUGGAACGCGGCGCGGCCAUGCCGUAAAACCCCAACUUCUGAAUGUUGACCUCGGAUCAGGUAGGAAUACCCGCUGAACUUAAGCAUAUCAUUA
rnacentral:sRNA from 1 species